CCCAAAUCAGAUGGAGAGAACCAACCCUAUCCCCACGUAGCCAACCUAAAAUCCCCCCGUUCGUCUCCUCUGCUCAGCCGCCACCGCAGCGACCUCGCGCCGGCGCCUUCCCAAAUCGACGGUGCCCCUCGUCCCUCCCCCUCCCCUAUCCAUCUCUUCCCUGCGCCACUUCCUCCAUCUCUGGAUCGGGAGGAGGAGUUCGCCGACCAUCAGUGUAGCGCGGGAUCGACGCAAUUGGAGAUUCACGGCCGACGAGGCGGUUUCCACUCUGCCCCCUGGCCAGCGUCGCCCUCCCAGCAAGAGGAGAAACGGGGCAGCGCUGGAGAGGAGACAUAGACGGGGGAGCGGAUUGGUUGUGGUCUUGGGUGGAGAGGGGUGGAAGUGGAAGUGCCUCACCUUGUUGAGCAGAUAGGGCAAGCGUGACCGCUUCCUCGACCUCCAUGUCAGAUCGGAAGUGACAUAGGCAUAGCUGCUAUGAAGGUUUUCCAUGCUACCCAGUGAUAAAAUAGUUCUCCCAUGUAUACAAAUUUGGGACAUCUGGAAGAUCCAGAGCGAUGUGGGGGUUAGGCCUCCACAACCACCCUUCUCUGCUACAGCAGUCCGUUGGUGAGGCUUAGAUUUGGGGCUUAUCCAAGGAGAAGUGGUCGGCUCCGUUUUGGCCGGAUGGACGACGACCAGCAGCUCAAGACGUUGGCCAGCCCUCCUCUGCUUCUUCUUUUCAAGGAUCUACAGGUGGUCAGUCAUGGGCAGAAGGAUGGCUUGUGAUUACCCGUGUACACUUGGGCAGAAGUAUGAGGAAUUAUGUCGGUGGUUUGCUCGCUAACAGAUAAGACCGAGGCUGAUGUGAGCUGGCAGGCGGAGGUUCAAGAGGAGCGCGACGUUGCAACCUCCAGGCGUAGCGUUAGCCGCUACUAUCACCAUCGCCAUACUUCUCUCAGCUACAUGGAUGUGAGUGCAUUCACACAGUAUUGAGGUUUCUCUCUUGCUGCUACUCCACCUGGAGGAGCGCCGUCUUGGUCACCGGACGGUCAUCCUUGUGUCGACAUGGUUGCGUGUAUAUUUGGUUACCUUUUUCUCUGCAGCUUAGUAAACGAGAGAAACAGAGAUCUACACAGCGGCAAGGCAGAGUUGAAACUUCUGUGAUCCGGAUAUUACAGAUGGAUUUUUUCACACAGCGAGGAUGUUUCUUUAGAUGUUCAAGAAUGUAUGCUUAUGUUCAAAUGUUAGUUAUGAUGUGUGUGUGUGGUGAAGUAAUUAUCCAGCGGUAGUAAUUAGUAACCCGUUGUUAUCUACAUCCCGUUUGGUAGAAGUCAUUUUAAUUACUUGCUAAAACUGUAUGAGGACUGACUGAGUUGUUUUUGAUCUAUUCAGCAAAUUUAUAGAUUGGAUUAGGCUGAUAUGCUUAAGCCAAGCUCAGGUUCAAGUGCGCUUCUCAUCUAAACAAGAGUGCCAUUGCUGUUGUCAAAAUUUAGAACUCACAAGGAGGAGGUCGUUGGGGUCAUCUCCAAUGGUGUGGAGCUCCAUCCUUUGCGCUGAACCGUUCUGGUUUGCCGUUUUUUCUGCAGUUUGUGACAUCGGCUGAGAUGGUUCCUAAUUUCCAAGUUAAUUCAGACAUCUCCACAGAAGUGAAGGAAGAGAGCAAAAUAGCAAAACCUGAGGAUAAUCUAUCUACUAGCUUUCACUAGAAGAGAUGAAUGGCAACAAGGAAUAGCAUCAGUAGGCCGGGUUGGUUUGGGAUUAAUAGUAUCAGCUGACAUGUUAUUUGAAUAAGGCGGAGGGCGGAAUUGGUGACAUGGAUGGAGGAGGAUGAUCUUGGCAUGGAGGAGAAGGCGGGGAAGUUGCAGAUGAGGAAGUUGUAUGGGGACACAAGGAUGGUAUCGACAGAGCCGCAAGCCGCUGCCAAACCAUAGGGUGACGCCUAUGACUGAGUGUCUUUCCAUGGCCAGCUGGUGGCUGAGCGCGAUGUGUUGCUGUUGGUGAGAGUCUGGAGCAAGAAGAGGAGCUAGAGAAGAUAAAUGUCCCCUAUUUCCGUUACAGCCAACUGCCUCCUCGUUGAGGAGCAGUGCCAUCUUCUCAACUCAUCUGCGCCCAUGGUGAUGAACUCCACCGCUGACCACCAUCUAAAGAUGCCCGUGGGGCCGACCGCAUCAUCUGAGAACAGUUUGAUCUCACUACAUCGAAGCUCUCUGGAGUGACAUGGCGAUGACAGGUAGUCUGUUUUGACUGUUCACAUGCUCUGUCAGUGAGUUUCUCUCUCCAUAUAUUACAAGGAGUUGCAGGUAUGAAACUUCUAUUGUUGAGGUUCAACCUUCUGAUUAUUGAUUCUUCUAUUGUUUCUAUAUUAUUAAGGUCUCAGUUCAGCUGUGUGUAGCAUUUUAUUGUAAUCCACCUUUUCAGUACCAAUGAUCAGUUCAGGAGAAAUGAACAUAAUAUUGAGAAAACUGGGUUCAGGAGAGAUGAACAUAAUACUGAGAAAACUGGGAGCUACAUGCUAACAGUGAUCUUAAAUAUUUAUGUUUUUUGUACCCAUGUUUCCCUCGGCUGUUUUUGGACUACUAUGGAAUUAGUGAUUCGUGCUUGCUGUUAGUCCCAUUUAGUGUUUCAGAUGUAGCUUGAUUUACAUUUCUGUCAUUCUUAUAUGUCUGCUCUACAUUGAUCUAUAUACUGCUUUACUUACUUUUGAUAUAAUUAGGAAGGACUCUUUGAGCGUCAUGGAGGGAAAACAUAAUGCUUGCACAUUGUCUUCUGAAUACGGCUCAUAAAUGUAGAGAUACAUUAAUUUUCUUUUGGUUUGUUGGGUAGUGAGCUUAGACUUUGCAAAUCACUGCAGUGAGCAUAGCAAAUUUCAUAGAUUUUUUUUUUUGGAAUGAUCGGUUUUGGCGCUGCAGAAGCAUUUUCUUCAAUCUUCUACACUUCGGACAUGGAGUUGAUGAUUAUGCUACCAAUCGUAUACAUCAUACAACCCCAUUAAAUAUAUCUUUGUAACUAGCUGUACCUUUCACAGUCCCUGAUUUGACGUUGUUCCCUUUUGAAAGUAGCUAUUGUUGUGGUGUGUAGGCACUAGAGUACGAAAUUAAGACCUACAAUGACUACUACCCCUGCAUAUGUGUUGCUGCUACAGCGAGAGCGCUCGUAGGCCUAAUGGUGUAGCAAUUGAGAUUUUAUCCCAUUUCUUAGUUUCUUCUCUGCCUUGAUUUUACCCCAAUUCUUUCCUUUUUUUAGUUAAUCCAUUCGUUUUUUGUUUAUUUUUACUGUGCUUCCAUUCACUGAUUUAUUUUCCUCUUUAUCCUUUCCUGCAUGCCUUUUCAAUUUCUACUUUCACGCAUGAUCAAAAUUUUGUUUCUUUUUCUUUUUGCUUGACAUAGUUGCUUUGUUCCAUUUUCUUUGCAGGUUGUUGUCUUGCUGGAGAUUGUUGCCCGAGAGCUUAGCGGGUGACAUUUUUAUGCUUUUGCUGGAUUUAGGAUCCGUCCUUAUUGCCGGUUGCUAACGUACAAACCAUGGGCUGAUGUAUCACCCAAGAAGAAUGCAGUACUCGAUCAUCAGUACCUAAAUUGAGAUAGCUUCCUCUCAUGUUUCCAUGUAGGUUAGCAUGCUAUUUAUGGAUGAUGUUUGGUCUUAGGCUUUGUGUAUUAUGUAAUGGACACCUUUACUGGCAAAUUUUAUGGGAACCUUGUGUGUAUGUACCUAUUGUUAUUUCAGAACCAUAUGAUCAAUUUAACUUUACUGGUUGUCCGCUA